AGUUGAGGGGAAUGUUGUCUGGAUCGAGGAUAUUAUAUAUACACAAAUACGUAUAUAUGUUAAUACAAGUGUUUGAUCAUAUAUGUAUAUAGAUUAUUCUCGGACCAGGCUUCAUCCCCCCUAACAUGU
rnacentral:pre_miRNA from 1 species